rnacentral:rRNA from 1 species
UACGGAGGGUGCAAGCGUUAUCCGGAUUCACUGGGUUUAAAGGGUGCGUAGGUGGGCAAGUAAGUCAGUGGUGAAAUCUCCGGGCUUAACCCGGAAACUGCCAUUGAUACUAUUUGUCUUGAAUACUCUGGAGGUCAGCGGAAUAUGUCAUGUAGCGGUGAAAUGCUUAGAUAUGACAUAGAACACCAAUUGCGAAGGCAGCUGGCUACACAAAUAUUGACACUGAGGCACGAAAGCGUGGGGAUCAAACAGG